CGGCUGCGGAGGCUGGCGCGGGCUGCUGCACCUUUAACGCUUUCUGGCGCUGACAGGCGGCGGCCCAGCUAAAGUUCACAGCGCCCGGGGAGGGCCCGCCUCCGCCUCCCCUCCCGCCCCCGCCUCCCCUCCCCCAGGCCGGCCCCGGCCCCCGGCCCCGGACAGGCCCGCCGCGCGGCCGCUUGAGCUGCGAGCUGAGGAGGCCCGUUGGCUGUUCCCGCAAAGAGUGGGGGGCGCAUUUUCUCUCCUGCCAGCCCGCUCCAUCCUGGUCGUUUAUUCCCGGCCUUCCCUCACCCCCCACCCCCACAGCCUGCUGGGAAACCAGACGACCCAGCGGCCACGGGACGAGUCACCCCAACUCAACCCCAGCAGGACGCUGGAGGGGCCUCCCUUGCCCACCUCUCUUCGCUAGCACUGGCCUCCCGCACCUGGGUCUGCAGUCCCUCCGCCAUCUCACAAGUGUGCAGCCGCUAGGCCUGGGGGAUCCGAAUGACUGGGGCUGGAUAGGAAUGCCUUCGUGUUUCCCAAGACCCCCGGGCCUGCUCCACAAAGUUUGAAGGGUGGGUACACCCCGACCCAGGAGCUCAGAGAUGCCCGGGAAGACGGGGGGCCCGAAUGGAAGCAGAAAAACACUUAUGGCCGCUGGGAAGUUGGGAGAGCCAGGCUGGGGCUCCGGCAGGCCCAGGGAAAGUUCCCUUUCUAGGCUCUUUAUUAAAAAAUUUAAAAGGAGGAGUUGAGGCGCCUUGAAUUUUCCUUCGCGAGUUUGGAGACCAGCCGAUUUUUCAUGAAGCAAGCAAGGGCCGCGGUCCCGGAUCCUGCAACAUAUACCUCAUUUUCUCCAGGCCUCUCCACUUGCCCGAGCUCUCAGCCACCAGGAGACAGACGGAAGGGGCUUCUGGGCUGUGUUGGGAGCGGGCAUUGUCCCCUACCCACUCCUGCACAGUUUCCCAAAGUCCAGCGACCUCCGACCCUCCUUGGGGAAAAAAAUACCAGUACCCAGACACCUCUGCACCCUGUUAUAUGACUGGGCUUGCUUCAGGAAUAUCUUACAAAGAAGAAGAAGGAGGAGGAACGGCUUGGAGUCAUGUUUACAUCUAGUUCUACUGAUCCGUUCACAUCUGGAGAGUUUAUUUAUAACUCCCUCUAUAACUCUCUGUUUGGAGGCACUGGUGGCUCUACUGACAGACUGAUGUCUAGGAAAUAUUGCUCUAUGUCUAAUGGUACCUAAAUGUGCUGUGGUUGUAUUUACAGAUUUACGUUUGAGGGAAAUAUAAUUAUUUCCAUUGUAUUUGUGCAUAUACAGUAGUUAUAGGAGCAGAUUUAUAUAUGGGAAAAUAUGCGACUCCCUUACAGCCAUCCGGCUUUAUGUACAUUUGAUAUCCUGACAGAUUUAUAUCUCUGAAGAGCUAUAUAGAUUAAAACGUAUAUUGUUAGAAUUAUGUAUCAGGAGAUAUAUACUUAUUGAUUGCGAAAUAGAGUAGUUAGAGCAUUCACUUAGAGCCAUAUAUGGCUAUGGAGAUAUUUCUAUAUUAUUAUCACUAUAUAUAGGCAUAUCUAUUUAUAACUGCAUAGUUAUAAAAAUAGACAUAA
rnacentral:lncRNA from 1 species